CCGAUGAUUAAGAGGUGAAAAUUAAAUUUUUAUUUUUCUCUCAUAUGUGUCUCCACAAGAUGCGAUUAAAAAAAAAAAACCCUACAAAUAUUAUAAUCGAAAAAACACGAUGAAACACUCUGUAUGUACUCAGUACGUUUUUGUCGGCCAAUUUUGAUUCCUGAGGGUUACCGUCAUCGUAAGUACCCAUUGUGUAAUUAAUUUUGCUUGACAAACACGAAAAAGACUGUGAUAUGCCAGAUUACGAACAAUAUUGUUGUACCGUUAGUCAGCCGUCCAAUAUGGAAACAUUGUCGUAUUCUUAUAGAUGAGGUGGGAAAAACAUAUAUAGACACGUUUUUUUAUUCUAACCGUUUUUAUUAAACACGUGGAAAAUGCUUUGGUUUUACGCUUUCCAACGGAUAUAGUAUAAUUAUCAUACGGCGAUCCUGUAACCCAGAGGUGAUAGCUACAGGGCGUAACAGGACUAUUUGACAUAGUCCUUGACUAUUGG